GAUGAACGCUGGCGGCGUGCCUAAUACAUGCAAGUCGAGCGAACGGACGAGAAGCUUGCUUCUCUGAUGUUAGCGGCGGACGGGUGAGUAACACGUGGAUAACCUACCUAUAAGACUGGGAUAAAUUCGGGAAACCGGAGCUAAUACCGGAUAAUAUUUUGAAUCGCAUGGUUCAAAAGUGAAAGACGGUCUUGCUGUCACUUAUAGAUGGAUCCGCGCUGCAUUAGCUAGUUGGUAAGGUAACGGCUUACCAAGGCAACGAUGCAUAGCCGACCUGAGAGGGUGAUCGGCCACACUGGAACUGAGACACGGUCCAGACUCCUACGGGAGGCAGCAGUAGGGAAUCUUCCGCAAUGGGCGAAAGCCUGACGGAGCAACGCCGCGUGAGUGAUGAAGGUCUUCGGAUCGUAAAACUCUGUUAUUAGGGAAGAACAUAUGUGUAAGUAACUGUGCACAUCUUGACGGUACCUAAUCAGAAAGCCACGGCUAACUACGUG
rnacentral:rRNA from 1 species